AGUGAACGCUGGCGGUAGGCCUAACACAUGCAAGUCGAACGGCAGCACAGUAAGAGCUUGCUCUUACGGGUGGCGAGUGGCGGACGGGUGAGGAAUACAUCGGAAUCUACUUUUUCGUGGGGGAUAACGUAGGGAAACUUACGCUAAUACCGCAUACGACCUACGGGUGAAAGCAGGGGAUCUUCGGACCUUGCGCGAUUGAAUGAGCCGAUGUCGGAUUAGCUAGUUGGCGGGGUAAAGGCCCACCAAGGCGACGAUCCGUAGCUGGUCUGAGAGGAUGAUAAGCGACCUUGGAACUGAGCCACGGUCAAGGCUACUACGGGAGGGAGCAGUGUGGAAUAUUAGGCAGUGGGCGCAAGCCUGAUCCAGCGAUACCGCGUGGGUGAAGAAGGCCUUCGGGUUGUAAAGCCCUUUUGUUGGGAAAGAAAAGCAGCAGGUUAAUACCCCGCUGUUCUGACGGUAACCAAAGAAUAAGCACCGGCUAACUUCGUG
rnacentral:rRNA from 1 species